rnacentral:rRNA from 1 species
GUAAGGGAUAUUGCGCAAUGGGCGAAAGCCUGACGCAGCAACGCCGCGUGCCCGAGGAAGGCCUUCGGGUCGUAAAGGGCUUUUAAGGCUGAAGAGAACGGACGGUAAGCCUGGAAGAAGUGUCGGCUAACUACGUGCCAGCAGCCGCGGUAAAACGUAGGACGCGAGCGUUAUCCGGAGUUACUGGGCGUAAAGGGCGGGUAGGCGGGUGGGCAAGUGAGGUGUGAAAUCUCCCGGCUUAACCGGGAGGGUGCAUCUCGGACUGUCGACCUGGAGGGCAGCACAGGAGCGUGGAAUUCCGGGUGGAGUGGUGAAAUGCGUAGAGAUCCGGAGGAACACCAGAGGCGAAAGCGGCGCUCUGGGCUGCACCUGACGCUGAACCGCGAAAGCCAGGGGAGCGAACGGGAUUAGAUACCCCGGUAGUCC